rnacentral:rRNA from 1 species
GCAAGUCGAGGGGUAACAGCAGAGCUUGCUCUGGCUGACGACCGGCGCACGGGUGCGUAACGCGUAUACAAUUUGCCUUAUACUGGAGGAUAGCCCUAAGAAAUUGGGAUUAAUACUCCAUGACAUUACGAGAUCGCAUGAUCAUGUAAUUAAAGCUUUUUGUGGUAUAAGAUGAGUAUGCGUCCUAUUAGCUAGAUGGUAAGGUAACGGCUUACCAUGGCAACGAUAGGUAGGGGGCCUGAGAGGGUUAUC